GGAAGGGAACCGUUUCCCGGUGGAGCGCCCGGACUUCAAAUCCGGCGUGAGGCGCUGAGCGUCUUUGGUGGGUUCGACUCCCACUCCCUUCCGCCA
rnacentral:tRNA from 1 species